rnacentral:rRNA from 1 species
UACGAAGGGGGCUAGCGUUGCUCGGAAUCACUGGGCGUAAAGCGCACGUAGGCGGAUCUUUAAGUCGGUGGUGAAAUCCUGGAGCUCAACUCCAGAACUGCCUCCGAUACUGAGGGUCUUCGAGUCCGGGAGAGGUGAGUGGAACUGCGUGUGUAGAGGUGAAAUUCGUAGAUAUUCGCAAGAACACCAGUGGCGAAGGCGGCUCACUGGCCCGGUACUGACGCUGAGGUGCGAAAGCGUGGGGAGCAAACAGG